rnacentral:misc_RNA from 1 species
GAAACACUGCUCACAACUCUGUUUUGACAAUAGAGCACAUUCCCAAAUUAAGAACUAACCCACUAGACCACGAAUCCCUUAUAAGACCCCCAUCAAAAGCUCAGUUUGAUGUGGAUAUAAAGGAACCGUCAGUAUUCAAUUUAAACCACUAAAAUGGAGGGAGCUCCAAGCAGACUAGCCAUUCCACUCUACUUCAUACACUUAUGAGAG